rnacentral:rRNA from 1 species
GACGAACGCUGGCGGCGUGCUUAACACAUGCAAGUCGAACGGAAAGGCCCUGCUUUUGUGGGGUGCUCGAGUGGCGAACGGGUGAGUAACACGUGAGUAACCUGCCCUUGACUUUGGGAUAACUUCAGGAAACUGGGGCUACUACCGGAUAGGAGCUCCUGCUGCAUGGUGGGGGUUGGAAAGUUUCGGCGGUUGGGGAUGGACUCGCGGCUUAUCAGCUUGUUGGUGGGGUAGUGGCUUACCAAGGCUUUGACGGGUAGCCGGCCUGAGAGGGUGACCGGCCACAUUGGGACUGAGAUACGGCCCAGACUCCUACGGGGGGCAGCAGGGGGGAAUAUUGCACAAUGGGCGGAAGCCUGAUGCAGCAACGCCGCGUGCGGGAUGACGGCCUUCGGGUUGUAAACCGCUUUCGCCUGUGACGAAGCGUGAGUGACGGUAAUGGGUAAAGAAGCACCGGCUAACUACGUG